UACAGAGGGGGCUAGCGUUGUUCGGAAUUACUGGGCGUAAAGGGCUCGUAGGCGGCCAACUAAGUCGGAUGUGAAAUCCCCAAGCUUAACUUGGGAACUGCAUCCGAUACUGGAUGGCUUGAAUCCGGGAGAGGGAUGCAGAAUUCCAGGUGUAGCGGUGAAAUGCGUAGAUAUCUGGAGGAAUACCGGUGGCGAAGGCGGCAUCCUGGACCGGCAUUGACGCUGAGGAGCGAAAGCGUGGGGAGCGAACAGG
rnacentral:rRNA from 1 species